rnacentral:rRNA from 1 species
UACGUAGGGCGCAAGCGUUAUCCGGAAUUAUUGGGCGUAAAGAGCUCGUAGGCGGUUUGUCGCGUCUGCCGUGAAAGUCCGGGGCCUCAACUCCGGAUCUGCGGUGGGUACGGGCAGACUAGAGUGAUGUAGGGGAGACUGGAAUUCCUGGUGUAACGGUGAAAUGCGCAGAUAUCAGGAGGAACACCGAUGGCGAAGGCAGGUCUCUGGGCAUUAACUGACGCUGAGGAGCGAAAGCAUGGGGAGCGAACAGG